rnacentral:rRNA from 1 species
UACGGGGGGGGCGAGCGUUGUUCGGAAUUACUGGGCGUAAAGGGCGCGUAGGCGGUCUGCUAAGUUGGAUGUGAAAACUCUGGGCUUAACCCAGAGCCUGCAUUCAAAACUGACAGGCUAGAGUUCUGGAGGGGAUAGCGGAAUUCCUGGUGUAGCGGUGAAAUGCGUAGAUAUCAGGAGGAACACCGGUGGCGAAGGCGGCUAUCUGGACAGAGUCUGACGCUGAGGCGCGAAAGCUAGGGGAGCAAACAGG